rnacentral:rRNA from 1 species
UACGUAGGGGGCAAGCGUUGUCCGGAAUUAUUGGGCGUAAAGAGCGCGUAGGCGGUCCGAUAAGUCGGCUGUGAAAGUCAGGGGCUCAACCCUUGAAAGCCGGCCGAUACUGUCGGACUAGAGUCCGGAAGAGGCGAGUGGAAUUCCCGGUGUGAGCGGUGAAAUGCGCAGAUAUCGGGAGGAACACCAAUGGCGAAGGCAGCUCGCUGGGACGGUACUGACGCUGAGGCGCGAAAGCGUGGGGAGCAAACAGG